rnacentral:rRNA from 1 species
AACGAACGCUGGCGGCAGGCUUAACACAUGCAAGUCGAACGCUCGUAGCAAUACGGGAGUGGCGGACGGGUGAGUAACGCGUGGGAACGUACCCUUAGGCUCGGAAUAACUGCGGGAAACUGCAGCUAAUACCGGAUGUGCCCGGCAAUGGGGAAAGAUUUAUCGCCUUGGGAGCGGCCCGCGUCGGAUUAGCUAGUUGGUGGGGUAACGGCCUACCAAGGCUUCGAUCCGUAGCUGGUCUGAGAGGACGAUCAGCCACACUGGGACUGAGACACGGCCCAGACUCCUACGGGAGGCAGCAGUGGGGAAUCUUGCGCAAUGGGGGCAACCCUGACGCAGCCAUGCCGCGUGAACGAUGAAGGCCUUAGGGUUGUAAAGUUCUUUUGCCCGUGACGAUGAUGACGGUAACGGGAGAAUAAGCUCCGGCUAACUUCGUGCCAGCCGCCGCCGUAACAC